UUUCAGAAUCCUUCAACAGGUCAUACAGAAUAAAUACCCUGAAGAAAGGAUUCAACCCUCAUGGUAACAAUGGAGUGGGAGUCAGAGAGGUCCUUGGCCCCAGGAGCAUCACACACGAUGGCAGUUGACAAUAUGUGUUAAGUAUGCUAGAAAGGGUCGGGAGGUGACAGAGACUUGAACUAUGGAUGGCUUCAUAUGCAGACAACUGAAUUAUGCACCUUUGAAGACUUUGUACCUAUGAAGGCUUUCCUAAUUAGCCCAUGCAAUCUGCCUCAGUGCUUAGAGCUGGAGUCUUGUCUAACACCUGAUAAUGUGGUUCUCUCUCUACCUCACUCUCGCCCACUGGUUGGAAAGUCAGGCACUUUACCAGAGAGGUUUCCACCCCAGGCUGGCCCCAACCAUUAGCUUGGCAGAGUUGGAAGUUAUCAUGAGCCAGGGGCACCUGUGUGGGCAGAAAGGAUGUGGAGACAAAGGGAUAAGGUUGCCCUCUAUGUACUCCAGCUUCUGACCUUCCAGAGAGAAAUUUCUGCUCCUACUAUUGACAUCCUCAAAAUGUGGACAAAGGGUUCCCAUGCUGGAGACAAGAAGAGACCAAUGAAGAACCAUAAAAGAACUACACACUCAAAACAACAGAAGUUAUCUGAGGAGAGGAUCCAACCCACAGAGUGGUUGUUGGCAGUUUGAUGGUGUUGCCAGGAUGUCACCACACCAGGAAGGGCCACCAGGUAGCUGCCUCAAAACAGGAGAAGCCUCGUGUACAGAUGACGGCUCUCUCGCUGGUCUGCGCUGGUUUUCCCCGUGACUCCUGUGUCACCCAUGUUGGCUUAUACAAUAGCCCGCUAUGGACUGUGUGACUCCUGAAGUCUUGUGCACUAGUGGGCAUGACUGGCCAUAUCCACACAGGCUUCCACCUGCCCUUCCUCACAGACUGAUCCCUAAAUGGGUAGAAACCUUUCCUACCCAGAGUCCUUCGGUUUCCUCCUCAGGUCCCAUAGGGUACCUACCUUAGUCUGGAGAACUGAAUCCAUCUCUCUUCUUCCCUCUAAUAUCUUCUUUUACAUCACACAUGCCAUAUGCCACUCUCUCAGCCUCAUUCUCACUGCUGUACAUUCACGUACAAUUUGUUUUCUGAUUUUUGCUCUCUGCUUUUCUCAUCUUCUGGUCCUAGAUUUUAAAGGGAGAUGCUUUACUGGAGAGUUUAUGACCUGUCAGUUUGGCCUUUCUGUGAGAACAGGAAGCAAUGUGGAAACAGACUUUAUAACACCCAGAGCCCAGGCCUCAGGGUGCACUGAAGUGGGGCUAGGACUCUCUUCCAUGUGGGCCCUCUGACCCAACAGACUGCAUGACACACAGUGAGAACUAUUUUCCGAAGGGGUCUUAUCCAUAGAGACAAUUAUUGUGGGAAAGAAGUCAAACCAAAUGAAUCAUGAUUUGCAAAAGA